rnacentral:rRNA from 1 species
GUAGUUAGCCGGGGCUUCCUUGCAGGGUACCGUCAUUUGUUUCGUCCCCUGCGACAGAGAUUUACAACCCGAAGGCCUUCUUCUCUCACGCGGCGUUGCUGGGUCAGGCUUGCGCCCAUUGCCCAAUAUUCCCCACUGCUGCCUCCCGUAGGAGUCUGGACCGUGUCUCAGUUCCAGUGUGGCCGAUCAGCCUCUCAGCUCGGCUACCCAUCGUCGGCUUGGUGGGCUGUUAUCUCACCAACUACCUAAUGGGACGCGAACCCCUCUAAAAGCGAUAAAUCUUUGACCUCUUCCCGAUGCCGGGUUGUGGUCUUAUGCGGUAUUAGCAGUUGUUUCCACCUGUUAUUCCCCACUCUUAGGCAGGUUGUUCACGCGUUACUCACCCGUGCGCCACUAGAAUUAUCAAUUCCAUCCGAAAACUUCCUUAAUAAUCCCCGUUCGACUUGCAUGUGUUAGGCACGCCGCCAGCGUUCGUCCUGAGCCAGAAUCGAACCCUGA